UUCCUACGGGAGGCAGCAGUGGGGAAUAUUGCACAAUGGGCGCAAGCCUGAUGCAGCAACGCCGCGUGAGGGAUGACGGCCUUCGGGUUGUAAACCUCUUUUAGCAGGGAAGAAGCGAAAGUGACGGUACCUGCAGAAAAAGCGCCGGCUAACUACGUGCCAGCAGCCGCGGUAAUACGUAGGGCGCAAGCGUUGUCCGGAAUUAUUGGGCGUAAAGAGCUCGUAGGCGGUCUGUCGCGUCUGCUGUGAAAUCCCGAGGCUCAACCUCGGGCUUGCAGUGGGUACGGGCAGACUAGAGUGCGGUAGGGGAGAAUGGAAUUCCUGGUGUAGCGGUGGAAUGCGCAGAUAUCAGGAGGAACACCGAUGGCGAAGGCAGUUCUCUGGGCCGUAACUGACGCUGAGGAGCGAAAGCGUGGGGAGCGAACAGGAUUAGAUACCCUGGUAGUCCACGCCGUAAACGUUGGGCGCUAGUUGUGGGGACCAUUCCACGGUCUCCGUGACGUAGCUAACGCAUUAAGCGCCCCGCCUGGGGAGUACGGCCGCAAGGCUAAAACUCAAAGGAAUUGACGG
rnacentral:rRNA from 1 species